CUGAGCUCUGUUACCAGCAGUCUCCCUCCUAUUGGCAGUGAUGGAGCCCCCUGGCUGCCCCCCCAGUGUGGCCCUCCCUGAGCUCUGUUACCAGCUGUCUCCCUCCUAUUGGCAGUGAUUGAGCCCCCUGGCUGCCCCCCCAGUGUGGCCCUCCCUGAGCUCUGUUACCAGCAGUCUCCCUCCUAUUGGCAGUGAUUGAGCCCCCUGGCUGCCCCCCCAGUGUGGCCCUCCCUGAGCUCUGUUACCAGCAGUCUCCCUCCUAUUGGC